UCAAUAAUUUUAAAGCAAAUACGUAAUAAAUAUGAAAUUACAUAAUAACAUUACGGAAGUAAUUUUUGUCACGUUCUUGUUAUUUAUUUUUACAUCAGCCGUCGAAUAUUCUGAAAUAAAUGAAGGUUACGCACAAGGUUUUAUUCCAAGAUGUCCUAAUUUAUCAAAACCCGCCGAAAUAAAACCAAAACAUUUGGACAAUUUGAAAAUCGAAGUACUGAGUAAUGGUUCCCUAUUGGAAGCCAAAUGGACCUCGUACAACUAUCACAAUGUAAAAGCUUUGGCUAUGAAUUCUGAUGUAGACUUCAGGCAGAAAACCGUUGUAUAUGCUCCUGGGUAUUUCGAACCAACUGCAUUGCCACUUGGAAGGAACAUGAUGGUGAUCUAUAAGAAAUUGGGAUAUAACGUGCUUCUGUUAGAAUAUGUGACGUUCACUACAAAUAUAUACCCCGUAGUCGUCCGCUUGUCACGUUCUAUUGGCAAUCAUGUAGGUGAAAUGCUAGCCGAACUAUCAACAGUCGGUCUAGACCCAGAAAAACUUGAACUAGUUGGCCUUAGCCUUGGUGGAGUCAUAAUGCCUUUCAUAGCUAGAAGAUUUCGUCAGAUCACAGGAAGAAAUAUAUCGUCAAUCACAGCUCUUGAUCCUUCAGGGCCUUGCGUUAGACAUCUUGGACCAGACCAAAGACUGGACAUCUCAGAUGCCGAUCUUGUUUUGCACAUAGCUACUAAUACUGGAGGAUAUGGCAUGACCACUCCGGUAGGACAUGUGACGGUUUAUGUCAAUGGAGGGGAGUACCAACCAGGUUUCCUUACGUCUUUUCUUUGCGACGAUUUAUGCAGUCACUGGCGAUCAUUGUUAAUAUGGAUGUCGGCGUUAGAACAUCCUGGCUCAUUCAUAGCGAUGCAGUGUGAUUCUGUGCAGCAAGCGAAAGACCAUCUUUGUUUUAAUAGAAAACCAAGGGUAACAAACACUCUAGAUCUGUACACGGAUAGACGUAAACCAGGCAUUUAUUACUUGGCAACGAGUCAUAAUUAUCCAUAUUAUUUGGGUACAAAAGGUUUGAAAAGAAGCGGUGCAGAAGUUUUAAACCAAAUAAGUGAGCUUAAUGCGGUUGAUGUACUGAGAGUUUAGUCAAAUUAUGUAUAAAUUGUCUUAAGAGAUUGAAAACAGUGAUUGUGUAAAUUAAUAAUAUAAAUAUCUAUUUACCAAUUUAAAUAUAAAUUAAUUGAAGGCAACAGAUUUAUGUAAUUGGCGGCUAAGCAAGUAAGCAUACGUACUUAAGCGGAAAUGAGUUACGGAAUUUAUACUUCUAUUGUAUACUGUCAAAAGUUACACAGAUUAAAUUAAUUAUUACUUAGCUUAACUACUAUAAGGUAUAUUACAUAUAAAAUGGAAUAAAAGUGACAAUAAUUAAUAUGGCAUUCAUUGCAGAAAUACUAAUUCCAAAAUGUUAAUUCAAAACCUUUUAGGGGUAUACUCGUCGACCUUAAAUAGCAAUUCUAUUUUUAGUUGUGACAUUUUUUAUUGCGCAUAAAACAGACAGUUUUACAUAAUUUGUAUUCAAAAACAUACAAAUCUAUCAAUCAAAAGGAUACGUUCAAGGAAAUCCACAGGUAAAUAAAUGACUAUUGUAGCUUCUUUUUUCCUCAUUUUAGAUAAAAACAACAAGAUACUCGUACACAAUAAUAAUAAUUUCAUAAACUCAAGUAAUAAAUAGAUUUUCUCAAGAAACAUGAUUUUGUAACCAAAUGGGUUUCCUUCGUAAUAUUCGUGAAUUUACUUGUAUUGUACUUUUGGUGCUAAAGUUCACAGGGGCGGUUGAAUAUUCUGAAAAAAAUGAGGGAUAUGCUCAAGGAUUUCUUCCGAUCUGUCCAGGAUAUUCAAAACCAGCCGAAAUCAAACCGGAACAUUUACAUAAAAUAAAGAUCUCAGUACUAAGCAGAGGUUCGCUUCUACAAGCAAACUGGACGUCUUUCAACUAUCAUAACGUCAAAGCUCUCGCCAGAGACCCAAACGUCGACUUCAGAAAAAAGACCAUUGUCUAUUGCCCAGGUUAUUUGGAUUCGACUGCCAUACCUUUAGGAAGAAGCAUGAUGGUGCUCUAUAAGAAGCUGGGGUAUAAUGUGUUGAUUUUAGAAUUCAUAGACUUCACUACAGAUGUAUUGCCUGUAGUUGUCCGUUUAAUGCGGCCUGUUGGAAAGCACGUCGCCGAGAUGCUAGCCAAACUAACGACGGUCGGCCUCGACCCAAAAAAUCUAGAACUGGUCGGCCUCAGUCUUGGCGGAAUUUCCAUGGCUUACACUGCCAAGAACUUCAAAAACUGACUGGUAGAAGAAUUUCAAAGCUGACCGCUCUGGAUCCUACAGGACCCUGCGUCAGACAUCAUGGACCAGAUGAUAGGUUGGACCCUUCUGACGCUGACUUCGUGCUGCAUAUCGGAACGAAUAUCGGAGGAUAUGGUAUAACUACUCCAAUCGGACAUAUAUCGGUCUACGUCAACGGAGGGGAGUACCAGCAAGGUAUAUUCCCAACGUUUCUGUGCGACAAUCUCUGCAGCCACGUACAAGUUUUGUUCAUAUGGGUCUCGGCAUUGGAAAGUCCGGGCAAGUUCCUCAUGAUGCAAUGUGAUUCUUUGCAGCAAGCGAGAGACCACAACUGUUUUGAGAGGAAGCCAAUGGUGACCAACUCUCUGGAUCUUUAUACGGAUAAGAGUAAGCCCGGUAUAUAUUACUUGGCGACGAGUCCACGAUACCCUUAUUAUUUGGGUAGAAAAGGCUUGAAACGGAGCGGUGCUGAGAUUUUGAAUAAUAUAAAAAACCUUAAUGCUGUUGAUGUGCUACGAGUUUAAUGAGUGAUGUUAAUAACUUAUUUUAAAACAAAUAAAAAUAUAUUUUUAAAUAGUAAUAUUUAAAGUUGCCGAAAUAAAAUUCUAUUCUAGAAAAUUUAGCUACAUGUAUUUUGUUGAGAUUACCAAAUGUGUAUGAUUUUGAUCAAAUGAAUGUAUACCUUAAUAUAUUCUAUUCCUAGGCGCGGCUUUUUGUCAAUCAAAAAUCGAGC